AAACAUUAGAUCUCUAAUUUUAAUAGUUGAGAGGAAGGUUAUAAAAUAAAACAGACAACACAGAGCUUCAUGACGGCCUCGGAUUGGCAGUCAACCCAGGGAUACAGAAAUGUAAACAAAAACAGAGCUUCCAGAUAACAUUAUUGUGUGCUAUGUAACUUUCAGAAUACAGCAGCUCCCCAGACACUCUAAAGUCAAGUGAAACAAGAGUUUUGAGAAUCAAUCUAUACACAUUUCAGAGGGCAGUCCAGGAAGGAGCCUUCCUCUUAGGUCAGCCCAGGGCUGGGCCUGAGCCUGAGCCCGGGGUGGUGUAGACACUACCCAUUUUGGACAGGGGAGGCCAAAGUGGUUCUGCUUCGGGUGAAAAAGUCAGAAAAAAGGCAACAGAUACAAUUUGAUAGCCGUCAAAUCCUCUCCUCCCUCUGGAAGUUUCUGAGGUGCUGGUCAUCAUUCUGUCCCAUGUGUUGCCACUGCGCUAGGGCUUUUGACUCAACCAAAAAAAGGGCCGGUCUUCCAGCCUGGUCCUGCAAGAGUGUCCUAGUGCUUCAGGUAGUGGAUGGGCAUCGUCAUUCAUCCCACCUGCCUGCCCCCUAAAGCCCCAGAAGGACACACCUUCAGCAUCAGGCCAGCUCUCCGGGUCACUGGGGCUUGCCUCAACACGAUGUGCAGGGCAGAGCCGGGAGGAAAGAGCAGAAGAUGCCAUGGGCUGUUCGCAGGAGCAGCCGUCCAGGGCGCCACUGGAGGAAGAUCUUCCAGUGGCUGUCUCAGCACGUACAAAGAAUAGGGGUGGGUUGGGGCAGCCCCCGCCCAGAGCCAAGGCACAGAGGAGGUUUGAAAUGUCCAGGAUAAAUAGAAGUGCAUGGGAAUGGAGAAAAGCCAGCUCCAUCCCACUCUUAAAAACAUCGCCAUUGGCACCAAAAAUAUAUUAACAUCUGUACAUUUGUCAUCUUUAAAAAAAAAAAAGGGAAAUAAAACCUUCUUGGCACCUUGCAGUUUAUUUCGUAGAAAUGAGGUGAAAUGUGGAAAGGCUUCCUGCACGUGAACAUGCAC
rnacentral:antisense_RNA from 1 species